CGGCACAGCUGGGCACAAACCUGUGGAAGCAAAGCUGAAUCCAUACAGGUGGUUUUUGGCUAACAGCUGCUUUGUCACUGGGACAGCCAGGUAACCUUGUCUCAGUCAUGGGGGCAGUUUUUGGUGGAGGGAGGCUCUGCAAAUCCAUGGGUUAAUAACUCAAAGCAUCCUGGAAAGCUACUGUCCCCUUGGAAGGGCACCUACGGAAAACCAUGGAGAAUCAAGGAUGCUCAGAAGCUCAGCACUCUGCAAGAUGGGGAUUUUAAUGUGCCACUGCUCUGAACACACAGGAGGAGGAUGGAGUUACAAGGUGACAAUGUGGCUCCUGUCAGAGAUCUGAACUUUCUGGGAAAAGAGUCAAAUAAGCACGAUGUUGCCACGACAUCCCUGCUUGGGGAUUCAAGCAGCAAUUAGAACUUGGAGCUGAGAUGCCCCAAAUUUUUCAACAUUCCUGAUCGCUGCACAGGCAAAUAUUUUCACACAGAGUCCAAGAGAAAAAAAAAAAAAAAAAAGAAAUCCCUACAACCCAAAUCCCAUCGGAGGUACUGGCUUGGGGAGAGCUGAGUAAUGCCAGGGCUGGUGCUCGUGGCUUGGCCCCUGCCUCGGGAGCCUGGGCGGGGAUGGAGGAGCCUGGAGGAGCCUGGAGGAGCCUGGAGGAGCCUGGAGGAGGCUGGAGGAGCCUGGAGGAGCCUGGAGGAGCCGCUCCUGCCCAGCUGCUGCUCGCUGGCUGGCGGGGACCGAGCGCAGCCCAGCCCGGAGAGCUGCAGGGACGGCGGGCGAGCAGCGCAUUGCUGGCAUUCCUGUGUGCUCCAGCCUUGGGCCCUGGAGUGCCCAGACCCUGCUGCUUCCUCACAAACUCCUCUCCCGAGCACAGCUCUGCCCCUUGCACCAACACAGCCUGGCUGCGGGCCGGCGAGAGCCAGCGGGCUCCUGGGGACACUCCUGCACCCCACUCUGCCAGAACCGGGUGCUCCACAGCUAAAGCUGCCCCAGGACCCCAUCUCCCUUACCUUGGAGAGAAUGCAGAGGAGGGAGAGGAAGAGGAGCUGCUUCUCCAGCUGGAGCCUCAUGGUGCUCUCCCCUGUGCCACUUCAGCACAUCACCCCCCAGGCAGUUUGGAGGCAGUGGCUGUUCGCAGGUUUUAAAGCCCAGAGAAGGUCCUGCUGGUGUUUAUACUCUCCCUGCUCUGAUGUCACUCACAGGCUCCAAUAUAAACAUGAGUAGGUUUGGACAAGC